rnacentral:rRNA from 1 species
AUUGAACGCUGGCGGCGUGCCUAACACAUGCAAGUCGAGCGGUAACAGGUGUAGCAAUACAUGCUGACGAGCGGCGGACGGGUGAGUAACGCUUGGGAAUCUGCCUGUUAGUGGGGGACAACCCGGGGAAACUCGGGCUAAUACCGCAUACGCACUACGGUGGAAAGCCGGGGACCGCAAGGCCUGGCGCUAACAGAUGAGCCCAAGUCGGAUUAGCUAGUUGGUAGGGUAACGGCCACCAAGGCGACGAUCCGUAACUGGUCUGAGAGGACGACCAGUCACACCGGAACUGAGACACGGUCCGGACUCCUACGGGAGGCAGCAGUGGGGAAUAUUGGACAAUGGGCGAAAGCCUGAUCCAGCGACGCCGCGUGGGUGAAGAAGGCCUGCGGGUUGUAAAGCCCUUUCAGUGGGAAGAAAAGCCUCGAGUUAAUACCUCGGGUCUUGACGUAACCAUAGAAGAAGCACCGGCUAACUCUGUGCCAGCCGCCGCGGUAAC